AGGACGAACGCUGGCGGCGUGCUUAACACAUGCAAGUCGAGCGGUAAGGCCCUUUCGGGGGUACACGAGCGGCGAACGGGUGAGUAACACGUGAGUAAUCUGCCCUCCACUUGGGGAUAAGCUUCGGAAAACGGGGUCUAAUACCUGAUACGACAACUACCUGCAUGGGUUGGUUGUGGAAAGUUUUUUUCGGUGGGGGAUGUGCUCGCGGCCUAUCAGCUUGUUGGUGGGGUAAUGGCCUACCAAGGCUUCGACGGGUAGCCGGCCUGAGAGGGUGACCGGCCACACUGGGACUGAGACACGGCCCAGACUCCUACGGGAGGCAGCAGUGGGGAAUAUGGACAAUGGGCGAAGCCUGAUCAGCAACGCCGCGUGAGGGAUGACGGCCUUCGGGUUGUAACCUCUUCAGUACCGACGAAGCGCCCGUGUGGUGGUGACGGUAGGUACAGAAGAGCACCGCCAACGUACGUCGCCGAGCACGCCGACGUAAGUCCGUAGACGGCGGGUCGUCGGACGAACGGCGACGAGUACGAG
rnacentral:rRNA from 1 species